UACGGAGGGUGCAAGCGUUAUCCGGAUUUACUGGGUUUAAAGGGUGCGUAGGUGGGCAGGUAAGUCAGUGGUGAAAUACUCCAGCUUAACUGGAGGGGUGCCAUUGAUACUGCAGGGCUUGAGUUAAGUUGAAGUUGGCGGAAUUGACGGUGUAGCGGUGAAAUGCUUAGAUAUCGUCAAGAACACCGAUAGUGAAGACAGCUAACUAAACUUUUACUGACGCUGAGGCACGAAAAGUGUGGGGAGUCAAACAGG
rnacentral:rRNA from 1 species